GGAAGGAUGGGUGAGUCUGGCUAAAACCGCUUGAUUCGAAAUCAAGUAGACAGUCUUACUGUCUCGGGGGUUCAAAUCCCUCUCCUUCCGCCA
rnacentral:tRNA from 1 species